AGGGGGCAGGGGAAUAUGCUCCUCUACAUUAACAAAUGGGCUCUUUAGCCUCUGAUUACUUUUUCAUACCCCUGAAAAUCUGAGCUCUGAUAUUGUACCAUGUCUGUGUUACACAGGGAAAUCUGUGUCCUGUCUUCCUUACAGAUCAGACUGACAGAGCAGUAGAGGCAGAAGAAAGAGCUGCCUAAACUUCAAUAUUCUUCUCCAUAAAAUUAAGUGCAUUCCAAUCCAGAAAUCAGGAUCUGAAGGCCUGUGUGCAGUCGUACUUAUCUCUGUCCUAAGCAUGCAUCAGUGGUUACCUGAAAGGCUGUGGAUGAGAAACUGCCAUCUCCUCUUGAAUAAUUGUAACAAGGAAGGAGGACACUGUGUGC